CAGACUUGUUUAUUUCCGACCGGAUACAGCGACUUCCGCCCCGCAGGCGGGUCUACACUUGUUCCGGUAAGCGCCGGACAUUUCCGGCGAGCGGGUUUAUCCCCCCCGGCCUCCUCCUUUAUUUCAUCAAAAUCGACACCUGUCCACCCAGAAGAGACGGGGGUUGGUGCUGACGGUGUUUGACGCGUCCUGGGGUUAAAAAGAUAAUCAUGGCUCCUCUGUAAUACAAACAGACAAAGGUAUAAAGUAGAUAAAAUAUAGCUGCAUGUCAUGAAUGUUGAAAGUGAAAAGUUGCGGUCCCAACACUGAGCCUCACGGAACACCACUUGUCACCAAGGU